CGAGCCGAAAGUGAUUCGAAAGGGAACAUCAAUCCUCUUAUAUUACCAUCCGGUAAAUCACUGGUCGGAUAGAAUGCCGCGUGUAUCUUUGUGCAGUUUCACCGAUUGAAUUGUUAAACACUUUGCUGGACCGCGAAAAAAAUCGAUACACGUCACCGUCUAUCUAGGAUUGACCGUGGUAAUACGAGUUAAUUCCUAUCGGCGAUGUGAAUGAAACAUACAAAGCCGUGAAGGCAACGAGACAUCGAAAAGCGCUUUACCGAUGCUGCGAGAGAAAGGAUGACGCGACAUGGAAACGAGCAAUCGGAUUCCGCCGAUGCCCAACAACAGGAAGCCCCAGUUGACGAAUCCCGUGAAGUUGCCGAAGCCCGAGCUCCAGGAGAACAGACUGUCUCUGGGACGAUGACAUCUGUAACGAAAAAGAACGGUCCAAGUUAAAAGAAAUUCUCAUUUCAAAUCGAUAUCAUACUGCUCUGGUCCGCGAUAUAAAGAAGGAGAGGCAUCAUAGAUACAUCACUAGAAUAAGAAUGGAACAAUAAAGCCGCUUCCAUACCCGUACAGUUAUAUGCAUUUCCAUUUCAAUUUACGAAGAGGUACACGAUUUAUGCAACGUAUUGAAAACAUUUGCUCAAGCUUCUCCUAUUUCCUUCUAUCCUUCCUAUCCACUCGGUUACUCCAUCUU
rnacentral:misc_RNA from 1 species